CGCCUCCGUCCUCGUGAGUUCAAAGUGGAUUUUAACCGUUUACCCCAGACGACAGUUUUCAUUUCUAUGGCAAAUUCUAAGGUCAUUUUCUUGUUGUGUUUUGAUGUUUUCCAUUGGCUGAAGAGCAGAUUAAUUACCAUGCAAUUUGAAGAAUUGUGAUAAAAUACACAGAGGUGAAGUCAUGUGUCUUUCCAGAUGCCCAAUCUGUACCACUCAAAAGGUAAUGAAGUGACAGUGUACCAUGACAAAAAAU